rnacentral:rRNA from 1 species
CGGUUGAUCCUGCCGGACCUUACUGCUAUCGGGGUGGGACUAAGACAUGCGAGUCAGGCGUCUCUAGCUAUGUUGAGACGCGGCAGACGGCUCAGUAACGCGUGGCUAACCUGCCCUCAGGACGAAGAUAACCCCGGGAAACUGGGGAUAAUAUUCGAUAGGUGAGGAUGUCUGGAAUGACUUCUCUCCUAAAGGACUUAGAUACAUGCUUCUAUUUCGCCUGGGGAUGGGGCCGCGCCCGAUCAGGUUGUUGGUGAGGUAACGGCUCACCAAGCCUAUAACCGGUACGGGCCGUGAGAGCGGUAGCCCGGAGAUGGGUACUGAGACAAGGACCCAGGCCCUACGGGGCGCAGCAGUCGCGAAAACUCCGCAAUGCACGAAAGUGUGACGGGGCUACCCCGAGUGCCAUCCGCUGAGGAUGGCUUUUCUUUGGUAUAACUAGCCAUUGGAAUAAGGAGAGGGCAAGACUGGUGUCAGCCGCCGCGGUAAUACCAGCUCUCCGAGUGGUAGGGAUGAUUAUUGGGCUUAAAGCGUCCGUAGCCUGCUUAGCAAGUUUCCUGUUAAACUCAGCGACUCAAUCGUUGGAUCGCGGGAAAUACUACUAGGCUAGGAGGCGGGAGAGGUCAACGGUGCUUCUGGGGUAGGGGUGAAAUCCUA